UAAGCUCCUGCAAUAUAAUCCCAACAUUAAAAACAAAUAAAAUAUUUUUUCCACUCAUAAAAAUUAGAUAUUUUAAGAUCUUUUGUUCCGAGAAUAGCCAUAUAUUGUACCAAAUAUUGAUAUCCAUAUAUAGUAUCCAAUACAACUAGACAUAUCAUACUAUCUUUCAAAA